rnacentral:lncRNA from 10 species
AAUAGGCUCAUUUAUCUAUUCAAAGCUAUGGUAGGGGAUAUACUGGCUUGUUGACUUUCAGAGAGGCUGACAGAAGUGAGCCAAGACACUCAGAGCAGGUGAGAACAUCACAUGAUUCAGAUUAGGAAGUUAAGGAAAUACCUCUUAGGAUAGAUGAUCCCUCAGCUGAUUCUUGAACAGGGAGGAUUUCAGCAGGUGAGAAAGCAUGGUGGUGGGGUUGGUACCUGGAAAAGGAGAAGCUAGAUGAAGGCUCAGAGGUGCAUCUGAGGGGAGUGUUGAAGGCAUUUUAUUUAGUCAGAAUUUGAGCUGUAGCUAACUGUGCUCCUCAAACCAUUAUCAUUAGCAUCACAUGGAACUUCUUAGGGUUGCAAUUUGUCAGCUCCCACCAGAAACCUAAUGAGUCAGAUUCUGAGGAUAAGGCUCAGCAGUCUAUGGUCUAACAAGUCCUCCAGGUGAUUGGGAUACACAGUCAAGCUUCAGAACUAUUGGAUUAAAACAUUGGGUACCAUGGCAAGAGAUAUGUCUACACUAAUUGAAUAUUUAUAGAGUUUACAAAGACAAUCUUAUAUGUGGAAUUAUACACUUUAAGGUAUCUGCCACUUUAGGCUAUUUAUUUGAAAACAGAAAAGGUUCAAGAUAAAGUUUAAUAUUAUUUAGAUAUAUUAUUAUUUUGAUAAGUUGUAUAAAUAUAUACCUUUUUGUAACAUUAGGC